rnacentral:rRNA from 1 species
CAGUCGCCACGGUAAUACGAAGGGGGCUAGCGUUGUUCGGAAUUACUGGGCGUAAAGCGCGCGUAGGCGGUUACUCAAGUCAGAGGUGAAAGCCCGGGGCUCAACCCCGGAACUGCCUUUGAAACUAGGUGACUAGAAUCUUGGAGAGGUCAGUGGAAUUCCGAGUGUAGAGGUGAAAUUCGUAGAUAUUCGGAAGAACACCAGUGGCGAAGGCGACUGACUGGACAAGUAUUGACGCUGAGGUGCGAAAGCGUGGGGAGCAAACAGGAUUAGAUACCCGCGUAGUCCCUGUCUCUUAUAC